rnacentral:rRNA from 1 species
AUGAACGCUGGCGGCGUGCCUAAUACAUGCCCGUCGAGCGAACAGACGAGGAGCUUGCUCCUCUGACGUUAGCGGCGGACGGGUGAGUAACACGUGGAUAACCUACCUAUAAGACUGGGAUAACUUCGGGAAACCGGAGCUAAUACCGGAUAAUAUAUUGAACCGCAUGGUUCAAUAGUGAAAGACGGUUUUGCUGUCACUUAUAGAUGGAUCCGCGCCGCAUUAGCUAGUUGGUAAGGUAACGGCUUACCAAGGCAACGAUGCGUAGCCGACCUGAGAGGGUGAUCGGCCACACUGGAACUGAGACACGGUCCAGACUCCUACGGGAGGCAGCAGUAGGGAAUCUUCCGCAAUGGGCGAAAGCCUGACGGAGCAACGCCGCGUGAGUGAUGAAGGUCUUCGGAUCGUAAAACUCUGUUAUUAGGGAAGAACAAAUGUGUAAGUAACUAUGCACGUCUUGACGGUGCCUAAUCAGAAAGCCACGGCUAACUACGUG